UUAAUGUCUAACAACCGGCAGAGCCUUCAGAAAUAUGACAGGCUUUAUGGCUUAUGGACUGCAGGAUAAACACAUGAAAAUCUCAUACAUGAUUCUGCAGGUUCAGUUGUACACAACUAAGGAACUAUAUCAUCAAGUGGAUCAAGACAACACUGAAUUAGUUAGAGCUAACGUUAUCGUCAGGAAGCAUACCAUCUUUCUUCCAAAUGUUCUCCACUACUAUGCAUGGAUGCUGCACUGGAGUACCCUGAUCUGUUUUGAGAUGGUCCGUACGAGCAUGCUUGAAGCCCACUGAAAAGAAAAUGUGAAAAUAUCUCAGGAGGGAGAGCAUGCUUGAAUGUUGCUUGGGGUGAGGGAUUUUCCUACAAGUUCAAUAUGUCCAAAGUGAAGAAAAAAGAGAAGUGACGAAUGAGCCAACGUACGCUUUCAGGUGAUGCAUAAAGGUGUUCCGAAAAACAAAAUUCAAGUGUAUGAUAUAAGAUUUCUGUCACGCAUCAAAUUACUUUGUCAGUAUUGUUUUCUGUGUUGACAAAAACGUCUCAGAACCUGCAACUCACAAUGCUUGUGUCAUAGUAUAUUUUUAGGUUAAGACUUAUUUCAUGAAAAAUGGAAGUGAUCUGGGCAACCAGAAAAUGUUGAUUACUAUUCUUAAAGAUCAUUUCUGAUCAUUUUACC